rnacentral:hammerhead_ribozyme from 1 species
AUUCGGCUGACGAGUACCAAAUAGGACGAAACGCGCGUCAUCGAU